UACGUAGGGCGCAAGCGUUGUCCGGAAUUAUUGGGCGUAAAGAGCUCGUAGGCGGCCAGUUGCGUCUGCUGUGAAAUCCCGGGGCUCAACCCCGGGCGUGCAGUGGAUACGGGCUGGCUAGAGGCAGGCAGGGGAGAACGGAAUUCCCGGUGUAGCGGUGAAAUGCGCAGAUAUCGGGAAGAACACCUAUGGCGAAGGCAGCUCUCUGGGACGGUACUGACGCUGAGACGCGAAAGCGUGGGGAGCGAACAGG
rnacentral:rRNA from 1 species